GGGGAAUAUUGGACAAUGGGCGCAAGCCUGAUCCAGCCAUGCCGCGUGAGUGAUGAAGGCCCUAGGGUUGUAAAGCUCUUUCACCGGUGAAGAUAAUGACGGUAACCGGAGAAGAAGCCCCGGCUAACUUCGUGCCAGCAGCCGCGGUAAUACGAAGGGGGCUAGCGUUGUUCGGAUUUACUGGGCGUAAAGCGCACGUAGGCGGACUUUUAAGUCAGGGGUGAAAUCCCGGGGCUCAACCCCGGAACUGCCUUUGAUACUGGAAGUCUUGAGUAUGGAAGAGGUGAGUGGAAUUGCGAGUGUAGAGGUGAAAUUCGUAGAUAUUCGCAGGAACACCAGUGGCGAAGGCGGCUCACUGGUCCAUUACUGACGCUGAGGUGCGAAAGCGUGGGGAGCAAAC
rnacentral:rRNA from 1 species